ensembl:snRNA U6 U6 spliceosomal RNA
GUGCUCACUUGGGCAGCACAUAUGCUAAUAUUGGAACCAUACAGAAAAGAUUAGCAUGGACCCUGCGCAAGGGUGACAUGCAAGUUCGUGAAGCCAUCCAUAUUUUU